CUUUGAUGGACAGGUGUCGCUUCAACCAAGAGUGACUAUGCAUAUGGAUUAUUGUAAAACCUGCAGUGUACUACUGGCUUUCAAUCCCAUCUCUUCCCAAGAUACCCUAGUUCCCGUGCCUAAAGCACACCAUGAUUAAAGACAGAACAAUCGUGAUGACGGCACUCCUCCGCGACCCAACGCCCCACUCUUCUCAGAUUGUCUUUUCCCCUCACCGUACCAGAGUUCCCCGUCACCGGCGACGGAGCUCCCAAAUUAAAAAUGAAACCGUCAAUCCCUUUGUUUUCCUCCCUAGGUUCCGAAUCUCCAAUACAAACGCCAUAAUUAUCAACCAAGUAAUUCGAUCGGAUGCGUACCUACAAUAACCCUAGAUGGACUUCCUAAAAUUCAGCAACAAUCGUCAAGAAUCGGAGCCUCUAAUCAUAGGGCUUUGAUUCACCGUGAACAACUCUAUGUUAUUAUAGGAUACAUCGAAACAAAGGGAGGAAUCGUUUACUUACUUCGCCGGAGAAUAUGAUUCGAGUGACGACGACGGUGACGACGGUGAAAACGAUAUCGUGUUGGCUGCUUGGGUACAAUUUUCGCAUAGGCUUGACAGAUUUGUAGCUUUUGCGGAUCAUCUCAUCCUCCUGGUUCAAUUCGUACCAUCUUGAGUGAUUAAAUUCCUAGCUUGCAACCAAAUCUUCACCAGCAGCAGCUCUGGAUCCAUUGCCUGGGGUUGACCCUGUUAUCCUGUCGUUCAUGCUGAUAAAUGAGACUAUGUCACCGACAACUGCCCCUAAAGCUGCAGGGGUCAAUGAAUUCACUUGUCGCUCUAAUUAGAUCAACCUUUGAUUUUCCUGAAGGGGCGCUAAUUCAUUACCAUGAGCACCAUCUGGACCGGUGAACUCUGCCAGUAAAGGAGAGGUUGAUAUUCCCGGAGUUCCGAUGGCAAGUGAUUGAGUAGGUGCUGAUGCACCCGCAUCCCCAACUUGUUGGUGUCCAACAUCUGAAAUUGAUGAAAUACCAAAAAUGAGCUUUUUAAAAAUCUCCUGGCAUAGGAGAUGGAGCUAAGGGAGGUGAAGGAGUGGGGACUACAAAUGGGCAUAUGACAUGAAAUGUACGUAACGCCGGAAUGAUAGUGUCGACCGAACCAAUCCAAUGAUUGGCAAAAAGGUGCAACAGUGAAACCCAACAGUUUAGUGAUCGCAUCCAAGAGGUAAUCUCGAGUACAAGCCUUGACAAUCUUAGAGAGGAAAUAACAUUAUCAGCAGGAUUUCCACUCUAAUCACUGAGUGUUUAGAGGAAUGUUACAAUAUGUAUGGAUAGCUCCUUCUACGUCAAAACGAGCUUCUGAAAUCGAGUUAUCUCCCUUUUGAUAGCACCUUCUUUGAGAGAGGAAUAAAUUUGCAUUUGGGCUUUAUAUCCAACUGAUAGACUGUCUAGAUCCUUGACUACCCUGACAGAAGAUUGGAUGGUCCAUCAUAUUGCUUAUUCACCUAGGAAACAUCAACUCGCUAAGCAGGAUGCCGACUAUCGACAUUCUUCUCAUCCGUCUUUAGGAAUUCCUGAAUAGUCAUCCGUCUUUAGGAAUUCCUGAAUAGGAAAUGAAUCUAUGCGCUUCUUUCUAGCCGGGGCGCUUACUUCUAGCCGGGGCGCUUACGCGGUGACAGAGCUGUGGUAUUCAUCAUUUAUGGUAAUGCUGAUGCCUUCCUUGGAGACUUGCACAUGCACACGAUUUUCACGACAUAAGAAGGAGAGGAACUAGUGUACGAGACAACAAUAUUAGCAGUAGCUUUAUUUCUGUAAACCCCAUCUUACCAGCCACUCAUUCUGUAUACCGUACUGUACAAAGUCUUAAAAAUAAUAUGUACAUAAUGUAAUAUGUAGUUUUUUUGAUCUUGUGGUUUUGAAUAUUGUAUUGAUUCCUUUUUUGUCAUUUGGAAAUAGUAAUGCCUUGUGUUUGGUUUUA